CCUUCAUGAAGCUGGAAUUGCUAGUAAUGGCAGGUCAGCAUACUGCCGUGAAUACGUUCCCGGGCCUUGUACACACCGCCCGUCACACCAUGAGAGUCGGGAACACCCGAAGUCCGUAGUCUAACCGCAAGGGGGACGCGGCCGAAGGUGGGUUCGAUAAUUGGGGUGAAGUCGUAACAAGGUAAC
rnacentral:rRNA from 1 species